rnacentral:rRNA from 1 species
AACGAACGCUGGCGGCAUGCCUAACACAUGCAAGUCGAACGAGCCCAUCGGGUCUAGUGGCGUCCGGGUGUAUAACGCGACGGAACAUUCCCUUAGGUUCGGCAUAACUCCCCGACUGGGGUAACAACACCGGACAAUAUCUACGGCCCAAAGAUUUUUCGCCUUUGGUUGUGCACGCGUUGGAUUAGCUCGUUCGUAGGGUAAUAGCUUACCACGGCGUCGAUCCAUAGCUUGUCAGAGAGGAUGAUCAGCCACACUGGGACUGAGACACGGCCGAGACUCUUACGGGAGGCAGCAGAGGGGAAUAGUGGACAACGGGCGGAAGCCUGAUCCAGCUAUGCCGCGUGAGUGAUGAAGGCAUUAGGGUUGUAAAGCGCUUUUAACCGGGACGAUAAUGACAGUACCGGGAGAAUAAGCUCCGGCUAACUCCGUG